UACGAAGGGUGCAAGCGUUACUCGGAAUUACUGGGCGUAAAGCGUGCGUAGGUGGUUUGUUAAGUCUGAUGUGAAAGCCCUGGGCUCAACCUGGGAUUUGCAUUGGAUACUGGCAGGCUAGAGUGCGGUAGAGGGUAGUGGAAUUCCCGGUGUAGCAGUGAAAUGCGUAGAGAUCGGGAGGAACACCAGUGGCGAAGGCGACUACCUGGACCAGCACUGACACUGAGGCACGAAAGCGUGGGGAGCAAACAGG
rnacentral:rRNA from 1 species